rnacentral:rRNA from 1 species
GUGGGGAAUCUUGCGCAAUGGGCGAAAGCCUGACGCAGCCAUGCCGCGUGAAUGAUGAAGGUCUUAGGAUUGUAAAAUUCUUUCACCGGGGACGAUAAUGACGGUACCCGGAGAAGAAGCCCCGGCUAACUUCGGGCCAGCAGACGCGGUAAUACGAAGGGGGCUAGCGUUGCUCGGAAUUACUGGGCGUAAAGGGCGCGUAGGCGGACAGUUUAGUCAGAGGUGAAAGCCCAGGGCUCAACCUUGGAAUUGCCUUUGAUACUGGCUGUCUUGAGUUUUGGAGAGGUGAGUGGAACGCCGAGUGUAGAGGUGAAAUUCGUAGAUAUUCGGAAGAACACCAGUGGCGACGGCGACUCACUGGCCCGUUACUGACGCUGAGGCGCGAAAGCGUGGGGAGCAAACAGGAUUAGAUACCCGUGUAGUCC